CUCCUCGCUGCUCUCCUGCUGCUCCAAACCUCUAAAGACGUCGUCUCCAGUCCUCUACGGGAAGCCAAAAAAGCAGAGGACUGGUUCACCAGAGCGUUGAUCUACAUGGAGUCAAACCCCGAGACUUUAGAAG